rnacentral:lncRNA from 1 species
CUCCUUCUCUUUGUCACAUUAAGAAGAGCCUAUCUAAAUUUAACAGUUGCUUCAUACUACUACCGAAGUGAGCUACAAAUUAUCUUUUGAGCUACUAAAUGAGUGGAUUAUCUCUAAUUGAAGGCUGGAGUACCACAUCCGACCAGACUUUCUGAGUGUAGCAAGGAAUAUAAGGUGAAAGAAGACAUCUAAAACCCCCUGAAUCAUCAUGGGAGUCUUGUAGCUCUUGAGGUAGUCUAGG